GUAGCGAUGCAGUAAGCUCGUAGUUGGAUCUAGGGACGCGCAUUUCAAGCGCCCGUGUCGUCGGGUCAAACCGGCGACUGCGUUGGCGUUGCGGGCUCGGUCCGUCGGUGCCCCACAAAGGUUAUCGGCGUGUCAACCGGCCCGCCCGUCCCCUCCUUCUGGAUUCCCGUUCCUGCUAUUGAGUUAGUGGGGACGCC
rnacentral:rRNA from 1 species